GACGAACAACAGCAAAGGUCAGACGAACCUAUUCCUACAUACACGCACACGCCCACUCAGGCACACAUGAGACACCACCCACUCACCCCCCUCGCCCUCCCAUCAUCGAUCCCGUUCACCUCUAUCCCUCCCGUCGUUAUCGGUCGAUCAUCCUUCACAGACAUACACGCUAAAACGGGGCAGUAGAAGUUUUUUUUUGCGGUUAUUAUGGUGUCGUUUACGUGCAACUACUGCCAGGAUGUGGUGAAGAAGCCGAAGGUGCAGAGCCAUGCAUAUGCCUGCGGUUGCGAUACCUUCACCUGCGUCGAUUGCAUGCAGUUGUUCGACUUAGGCACCGUCAAGGGGCACACGUCCUGCGUGACGGAGGAGGAGAAGUACCAAGGAAAGUGGAAGGAAAAGCUCAGGAACGGCAGCAAGGCCGCCAAGUUGGCGGAAGCGCCACGCAGCGAUAUUGGGCGCCAGCCGCGUGCGCCAAUGAACGACCUCAGCUCUUCUGAUGACAGCAGCGACGGCGACUGGGUGACCCAGAGCAGCGGUAAGGGUGCAGGUGCAUCCAACGGACACCAAAAGCCAAGCGCGAUCGCGUACCGCAAGCGCCCGUGUCCUGGCUUGUGCCUCUCCUCUUCCGACGACGAGGGGAUGGGAAGAGGUGUCCCCACAGCGCCGGUGGCACCUGCGCACAAGAAGGCAAAAACGGUUUGCUCAGCCUCCUCGACGCCGUCGUCGGCGCUACCGGAGGCUGCGCCUGUCCUGACGGAGCGGUCGCCUGCAAACUGGAAGCCUGGAGCGAAGAAGGGCACCGCAUCGCCUGCCGCCUCGGUGCCGCACCGUCGGCCCAAGGAGGUGAAGGACGAGGGAGAAUGCAAGGUGACACAUCCCGGCAAGAAGGAUACGCCACUGCUCCUGCCGCGUUCCACGAUGUCGAGGGACUGCAUGGUGCCCACCUUCCUGUUAGGCACCAGCGAAGAGGUGGCUGACAUCGUGGCAGACGUCCUGCGCAACAGCGGUGUCUCCUCCAUGCGCACCAAGGAUGUUGCGAAGGAGCUCGUGGAGCGGUACGCUAAGCGAAUUGCUAAGUCGGUGCGCCACGCGGUGGAGACAGCGGCCGAAUUGGGUGCCUUGAAGAUCGACAGCGAGGGCAACGUGUCGGUUGCGUAAGACAAACACGUGCGUGGCGAGUAGUGGAGUCGUUUGAACACAGCUGUGCCGUGUGGUAUCGGGGUGUGAACAUUUUGACAGCGCUGUUAUGCGGCGCUGCCUCUGCACUUGUCUCUGGCGCGGUGUGGUACGUUUUUGAUUGAGAACACAGAAGAAAACUCUGCAUUAACGCGUAAGUGUAACGGCAUGCGGGGCGCCAGUGGUCGGGGUCACCUUCAACACGACACCAUCGUUGUCGUCUUUGACCGUCCUACGGUGGUGAUGUUGCUGCCCGUCUCUCUGUCUCUCACGCAUAUCCUGCGUCACAAUGUGUGCUUGCUUGCGUGCGUGUGUGUAUACAUGUCGAGCACACCUUCGGCUAACACGAAAAACAAAACAAACAAUAGUAAGGCAGCGGAGAACAGGCGUAGACUUGCAAGCGUGAGGUCGGCGAGGCCAUAAAUUCAUGCCGACGGCACACGCAAGAUAGAGGUUGGAGUGCCUUUUCGACAGUCUCGCAGUGGGCCUCCGUCAUUGCAGUGUGUGCUGUCCUUUUUUGUUGCUGUUUUACCUCUGGCAGCAUGCAUGAGACUUUGCAGCUGCUAGGGAGCGUCGCCGUUACAACGCAGUACUGCCAGAACGUCUCUCUCUUGCUUUGUCGGCCUUAUCCCAGUAUUCAGUACCACGGCACCGGCCUAUUAGUAUCACGCAGAACCUAAACGACUCUCGACAGGAUGAGGGCCGCCUCUUGGGGGUGGGAUAAAGGC
rnacentral:misc_RNA from 1 species